rnacentral:rRNA from 1 species
CGAGCGGCGAACGGGUGAGUAACACGUGAGUAAUCUGCCCCAGGCUCUGGGAUAGCCACCGGAAACGGUGAUUAAUACCGGAUACGACAACCGAUUGCAUGAUCUGGUUGUGGAAAGUUUUUCGGCCUGGGAUGUGCUCGCGGCCUAUCAGCUUGUUGGUGAGGUAAUGGCUCACCAAGGCUUCGACGGGUAGCCGGCCUGAGAGGGUGACCGGCCACACUGGGACUGAGACACGGCCCAGACUCCUACGGGAGGCAGCAGUGGGGAAUAUUGGACAAUGGGCGGAAGCCUGAUCCAGCAACGCCGCGUGAGGGAUGACGGCCUUCGGGUUGUAAACCUCUUUCAGCACAGACGAAGCGCAAGUGACGGUAUGUGCAGAAGAAGGACCGGCCAACUACGUGCCAGCAGCCGCGGUAAUACGUAGGGUCCGAGCGUUGUCCGGAAUUAUUGGGCGUAAAGGGCUCGUAGGCGGUCUGUCGCGUCGGGAGUGAAAACCAGGUGCUUAACACCUGGCCUGCUUUCGAUACGGGCAGACUAGAGGUACUCAGGGGAGAAUGGAAUUCCUGGUGUAGCGGUGAAAUGCGCAGAUAUCAGGAGGAACACCGGUGGCGAAGGCGGUUCUCUGGGAGUAUCCUGACGCUGAGGAGCGAAAGUGUGGGGAGCGAACAGGAUUAGAUACCCUGGUAGUCCACACCGUAAACGUUGGGCGCUAGGUGUGGGACACAUUCCACGUGUUCCGUGCCGCAGCUAA